rnacentral:rRNA from 1 species
GCCAAACCCCUAGCCCUGUCACAACCAAUGAAGCCCUCCCACCACAACUUACCAACCGAAACAUCCUAACAAUAAAGUAGAGGCGAUCAAAAUAUUAAUAAGAGCUAUAUAUAAAGUACCGAAAGGGAACGGUGAAAUAAUAUGAAAACUUAAGCACAAAAAAGUAGAGAUUAUCCCUCGUACCUUUUGCAUCAUGGUUUAACUAGUACAAACAAGCAAAAAGGAUUAAAGUUUGUCGUCCCGAAACUAAGUGAGCUACUUCAGAGCAGCUUAACGAGCGAACCCGUCUCUGUUGCAAAAGAGUGGGAAGACUUUCAAGUAGAGGUGAUAUGCCUAA